rnacentral:lncRNA from 10 species
UUCUAGGCAUCUCCUACCCAGGCAAAUGUUGAUUGUUCAUUACAGGAUUUUCCCAAAGACCUGUCAAUUCUUCAAUUUGGGCUCUAAGAUUCUUUGAAUGCCUCACCUCAAAAUCCUGGCCAUGCUGUUUAUUGUGGACUAUUAUGUUGUGAUUCUCACCCAGUCUCAUUCCAGCUCUCACUUUGAAAGACCUGCCUUCAAUCAAAUUUCCAAUUCUCAUUUGAUUUACAGAGCCUGUAGUCACUGAACCUAGGAAGGUAGAGGAAAAAAAUUCUCCUCUCCAACAUUUACUCUGAAGUUUUUUUCAAAUAAGAAAAUUUUUUAAUCAAACAUGAGACUAAUGGAAAGAACUCACAUAUCAAUAUGGGGGAGGACACAAAGACCGUUAAGCAAAACUUAUGAACAGGGCCAUGCCAGUGCAGGACCCCGGUCCAUGUGAGAAGCAGCACGGGCAGCUGUGCAGCCACAGGACAGCGUGGCCCAGAGGACUGGGCUAAGGCACAUAGCGGACCCCUUCAACGGAGGAGAAUUGCCUUUGGCCGAGCAGGGGCUGCUGAACCCUGAGGUAAUCCCAUCACCAUCCCCGGAUUAGCCUACAGCCACAGAUGGAUGAACAAAGAGAUGAAAAAAUGGAGGCUUAGAUGUGAUGUGUCCCAGCAGUCCCUGGAGACAGGAUUCAGCCCUGUUGACUGUUCUUACUCCAGAGCCCAGGCUUUUAUUCCCUACACUCUUCUGACCUCUUGGGAAAAACCUGGACCACACCAUAUCCUCCUUUCCAAAGGUCCCCGUGUUUGCCUCCUACCUGGGCACCGGGCUGCUGGCCCUGCCCUUCAGUUUCUCUCUUGCAUGGCAGCUAAGGCAGCCCCCAGAGCAGAGGUCUGACUUCAUCUCCCCUCUACUUAAAACCCUUCGCUGGGACUCCAUGGCCUAGGGGUAAAACCCAGACUCUCUAAUGUGCCAUCCAAGGCCCCGGAGAGCUCCAACACCCUCCAGCCCCCUCUGCCUCUCUCUUUCAGUGCAGCUAUUCCUACCCACUGAUGUGACUUGCUCUCAUUCGAGGUACUAGAACUUCUCUUUGUCUUUGCUCCCACUAUCCCCCCUGCCUGAGGCACAACUAUGAAGACUGCUGACUUCAGGACAUGUGGCAGACCCCUGGGCACACUGCCCACCCAGCAUUUUACAAUAUGACUUGGAAUGAUGUUUCCUAGCAGAGCGAUAACCCUAGCAAACUGCCAGGUGGGGUGUGGUGUCUGAGCAGAGCACUCCAGCCUCUGGGAAGACUCCCUCUCUGCUCUGCCCUUGGUUUUUGCCUCAUCAAGAUUUGCCUUUUCUUCAUGGUGGUCUUGACAUGUCCGUAACUGGAAACCUCUUGAUUUCACACAUUUGCAACUUUUAAGAAAAAAAAAAAGUGACACAAAAAUGUGUUUUUAACUUUUUGUGAAAUAUUCCUUUUCUUUUUCUUUAUUCUUCUUAACACAAUACUUUAGCUAAUACUAUUUGAGUAACAUUUAUUGGACAUGCAACUCAAACAUUAUUCUGAAAAUUAAUAAUAUCAGAGUGUUGUGCCCUAAUGUUAUCAGGAUAGUGAAUGUCCCUAUUGCUGGAGCUGAGGAGGGUGAACUCUGUGCUAAUUCUCUUUCAUGGAUGUGGCUUGCUCAGAGAAAAUGAAACCCCAGGACCCAAUACGACAACAACAAAAAUAACAUGUGCAGUCUCCACCAAAAGUCACAGGGCGUUCAAAUCCAGGGGUGCUUUUGUCCCCAAAGCCCUUAUUUGGGGAAGCUUCUUGGGCCAUCUUGUUAAUUUAUCUCUCCAAUUAGAAGUAUAUACAUAUAUAUAUAUAAUUAGCUGUGGGUAUCUGCUUACAAAACAUCCAGUGUUGCUCACAGAAUGUUGUAAACCGGCACAAUGGAGAGGAUCCAGUUACGCCAGCUAACACCCUAGCUGGAUAACGUGAGCUGGCGCUAUCUCAAGGAUGCUGCCCUCCACCGACGAACCCACACCAAUGAGCUCAGUGCUGGGGUAGUUUGUGGCACAGGGUGGGAGAGAGGCCAUAGGAUUCUGGACGGUAGCGGUGUGUCCCUGAAAGCUUUGGGUUGUGUAAUAUGAACAGUGCUUCUAAGUUUGUUUGGUCAGAGUCUUGGUUCCUUGACCUUUCUUGAUCAGCACUGAAGGUGGGGCAGAAGGGUCCUGUUUUCGAGAAACUGCUGAGGUUGUCUCUGCCAUCUCAGACUCUUAGGCAGGAAGUUGGACCCAUCCAGGUAUCUGGGACCUGAGGGCCCCCCAUUACUCCAAAGGCAGGGGAGGAUUACUGCCAGAUAUAAGCCAGACAGACUAAGAGGCACGGUCUACACAACCCACAAGGAGAACUGCAGCCAGCUGGUGACUAUGGGUCAUAGUUUUUUUAUUCGUCUGCUUCUCCCCCACCACCCCAGGAGGCAGAGUCAGGGAAAGAAAGUAGGGAGCCUAGAUUCAGGGGCUCUGUUCCUUCUGCCCAUACGGGAUAAGGACAACUGGAAUGCUCCUCAAAGCAAAAGUGUUAAACAAAGUCAACCCCCAUUUUCAGAUGUCGGCUGAAAUCGGACACCCCAUUUUUAGGUGUCAGCUGAAAUCAGAUGGGUGACAAGCCCCUCUUCACCCCACACUACCAUAAGCAAGUUAUUGAAGCUUUCUCUGCCUCCGUUUUUUCAUCUGCUGGGUGGAGGUAAUUCUGCUACAACUCCUGCAAGAGCCCUUUGGGGACUGAGUGAGAUAAUAUGACCAUAACCAGAACACCCCAAAGCCCUGAAGAGUUAGGAGAGCGCUCUGUGGGAUUCCUGCUCAUAUCACUUUACUCCCAGCCUCAGUGCCUAGGCCUGCAGUGCGUCUGGGCCCCACUUUUGCCAGGCACGAAUGAGCCUGCCCCUUUCUUCUGCUCCAUAAUGCACCUGCUGCAAAGUUCCUUACUUCACUGCCUCACGAAGGUAUGGCCACAUGGUGGUAGAGAUGUGGCCCUCGCCUUGUCAGCUGCCCCAUCUCCAGCCUCUUCUGUAUUCUCUCUAUUGUACUGGGCUCUAGGGCUUCCUUUCUAUUCCACAGAGCAGCACUAAGCCAGGCUAUGAUGUGCGAUCGCUCAUCACCAACCCUUUGGAGAUAACCUGGUGUUGUGGUAGCAGAGCCCAGGAGAGCAAAGUCCCCAGCAGAGACAACUUAAUUGCUUUAAGUUUCUCAGCCACUUUUGCCAUAGGAAAUACCUCCUGAACCCCUCUCCUUGGACGUUUUGAAUUCUACAUACUAUUUGUUUCUAGAGCUCACUCCCCCUAGCAAGAUUCAGCUCAUCUGAUAUCCUAGAAUGUCAGCGUAUUCAUGCAUACAGUUUGGAGUGGAGAAGACCUCCACUGAGCCGGCGAGUCCCCCUUUUUUAAGAUUGCUUGGGAACCAGCAGUCCUGUGGUUGGACCACUGCUCAGUGAGCUUUGACCUUGGCAAAGGGAGUGGGAAUGGAUGCAGGGAGACUUCAACUUUGAGAUGCAUGUGUCAGGGACAACAUUGGUCUCCCUGUCACUUGGGCAAACUCUUUUAAGUCAUCACUCUUCUAAUCUUUGUCUUAUUGUUUGGGGGCACUUGGGUAUCUGCUCAUAUUUCAUUGUGAGAUGCUGAAAAGCUAUGUGGAAGCAUUCUGCAUGUGGGCAGGCCUUGCUGAUGGGUGGGCCUCACUUCAGGACAGUGUUUCUCAAUCUCAGCAUUAGUGAUAUUUUGGACCAGUUAUUUCUUCGUUGUGUGAGAGCUGUCUUUUGAGUUGUAAGAUGUUCAGCAGCAUCCUUGGCCUCUGUGUGAUAGAUACCUGUAACACCCACUUGCUGCCAGGUGAGAUAACCCACAGCAUCUCCAGGCACUGUUAAAUGUACCAGGAGAAGGUGCGGCAGGGGUGGGGGGUGUCCCUCAAGUUUGAGACCCACUGCUGUAGGGUGAUGAGGCAGGGAUAAGAGAUUCCCACUCCCAGUGUUUAUGGGCCUUUUCUUCUGGGCAGGGCAGAAUUCCCAGAGAAAAAUCUUCCCAUUUUCCCAGAGAACACACCUUGGCUGCCAGUGUGGGAGCUGAGGAAGAGAAGGUGGCUCGGAGUGCCGCUCAUCAGGAGGCGAAUUUUCACCCGGUUCUCUUGUUUUCAUAUGGGUUCUCAUCUUGCCCUUGGCUGUGUCUAAGACCCCUCAGCCCAGUGCUUUCCACCAUGCCAGCAUCUUAAAGAGCCAACUUUGAAUCUGCUGAAGUGGGAAAACCUGAGGUCUAACUAGUCUUUUUUGUUUAAGAACAGCUUCAUGGAGGUAUAAUGACCAUACUACAAAAUUUAC